CGAUUGUGAACUUGGCAGCGACUGCUCGGCGUGAAUAACCCCAGUGGCCACUAACCAGGAACACCUGCUGGCCCCGUUACCCGGAACGGGAGGAGAAGAUGGGCAUCUCCAGCGGAAUUCCACCGCGGAAUAUGGAAGUGUUUAAAGGAAGACCUUCCCCGCUCGGGGUAGCAGAGAUCUGAACCUUUAAAUUGCAGCCAUCCCCGGCCUGACGAUAACUUUUCUUGAAGCCAUGGCAGGAGCUGUGCUCGAAAUGGUGCCGUGGGAGUUGGUAUCCCAGGUCAGGAGACCAGACAUCAAAUCCUUGGUGCACCUUGGCAGCUGGGAACGCUCCACAAAGCAGGAAUGCUCCAGCAAACCCUGCCAAAGCAGCUGCUGGGAGCACACCACCAAAGGUACAAAUGGCUCCAGAACUUUCUACACCAGGCUUCCAACUUUCAUCCUCAGAUCUGCACCCUGAUGGAUUUUUAAAUGGUCCACGAGGAGCAGGAUUUCACGUCUGUGAUCAGGUUGCCCCUACCAGCAGGGUGGGCUGGACUCGGAGGUUUUAGGUAGACCCCAGCACCAAAAAAACUACAUCAGACACAGCUCUUGGAGGGCCUCCAAAAGAAUAAACUCAUUUGCAAUUAGAGUUUAUUUUCUCAGAUUUUUGAGAGAAAGAAAAAACACUGUAUUUUUCAUU